CCUACGGGCGGCAGCAGUGGGGAAUAUUGGGCAAUGGGCGCAAGCCUGACCCAGCAACGCCGCGUGAAGGAAGAAGGCUUUCGGGUUGUAAACUUCUUUUCUCAGGGACGAAGCAAGUGACGGUACCUGAGGACUAAGCCACGGCUAACUACGUGCCAGCAGCCGCGGUAAUACGUAGGUGGCAAGCGUUAUCCGGAUUUACUGGGUGUAAAGGGCGUGUAGGCGGGAAAGCAAGUCAGAUGUGAAAACCAUGGGCUCAACCUGUGGCCUGCAUUUGAAACUGUUUUUCUUGAGUACUGGAGAGGCAGACGGAAUUCCUAGUGUAGCGGUGAAAUGCGUAGAUAUUAGGAGGAACACCAGUGGCGAAGGCGGUCUGCUGGACAGCAACUGACGCUGAGGCGCGAAAGCGUGGGGAGCAAACAGGAUUAGAUACCCUGGUAGUC
rnacentral:rRNA from 1 species